rnacentral:sRNA from 1 species
GCGGAGCGGUCCCUGCAACCCGGCCGGCGGGAACUGCCUUCUAGUUUUUAGUCUCAGACCAGACCACCGGGCGUGCCCCCAUGCCGAGCCCGCAGCUUCUGGUGCUCUUCGGCAGCCAGACAGGCACGGCUCAGGAUGUGUCGGAGAGACUGGGUCGCGAGGCCCGGCGCCGGCGGCUUGGCUGCCGGGUGCAGGCCCUGGACUCCUACCCGGUGGCCAAGGAGACCCCCCUGACAACAUGAAGAACUUCUGGGGGUUUAUAUUCCGGAAGAACCUGCCCUCCACUGCCCUCUGUCAGAUGGACUUUGCCGUCCUGGGCCUCGGGGACUCCUCAUACGCCAAGUGAGUAGGGGAUGGGACAGUGGGCGGCCGGAACGGUUCUGGGGGUCGAGCGACAGGUGUGCCGGCAGAGGACCGAGGCCAGCUUCCAGGGUCGGCCCCUGCGCGCCUCAGGGCCCUCGCAGUGGUACUGGCUUCUCCACGACGCUCCCUGGUGGGCACCCCAGGCUUCACGCUGCGGGGAGGGCACAGAGGGGAGCAGGCAGGGUGGCAAAGGGCUGGGCU